AACGAACGCUGGCGGCAUGCCUAAUACAUGCAAGUCGAACGAGAUCUUCGGAUCUAGUGGCGCACGGGUGCGUAACGCGUGGGAAUCUGCCCUUGGGUUCGGAAUGACAUCGGGAAACUGAUGCUAAUACCGGAUGAUGACGUAAGUCCAAAGAUUUAUCGCCCAGGGAUGAGCCCGCGUAGGAUUAGCUAGUUGGUGGGGUAAAGGCUCACCAAGGCGACGAUCCUUAGCUGGUCUGAGAGGAUGAUCAGCCACACUGGGACUGAGACACGGCCCAGACUCCUACGGGAGGCAGCAGUAGGGAAUAUUGGACAAUGGGGGCAACCCUGAUCCAGCAAUGCCGCGUGAGUGAUGAAGGCCUUAGGGUUGUAAAGCUCUUUUACCCGAGAUGAUAAUGACAGUAUCGGGAGAAUAAGCUCCGGCUAACUCCGUGCCAGCCGCCGCCGUAA
rnacentral:rRNA from 1 species